UACGUAGGGGGCUAGCGUUGUCCGGAUUUAUUGGGCGUAAAGAGCUCGUAGGUGGUUCGGUUAGUCGGAUGUGAAAUCUCCAGGCUCAACCUGGAGGGGUCAUUCGAUACUGCCGUGACUAGAGUUCGGUAGAGGAGUGUGGAAUUCCUGGUGGAGCGGUGAAAUGCGCAGAGAUCAGGAGGAACACCCGUAGCAAAGGCGGCACUCUGGGCCGAUACUGACACUGAGGAGCGAAAGCGUGGGGAGCGAACAGG
rnacentral:rRNA from 1 species